UUCUGUCAUAUAGUUUGAGUUUCAUACAAAUUUGUGUUGUACCUUUGAUCAAGUUUGACUGUGAUCGUAAAUUAUUUAAAAUAAUUUAUAUGGGGCCGGUAGCAAAGCCCACUUUGCCCAUUAACUUGGUAGCCAAACGGAACCGAGGGACGCCCCUUCCUGACUACUACGGUGCCGGACUGCGCCUUCCGUGCUUGCACUACCCUGUUGAUAUUAUUCGGAGCAGUUUUGUCAAUGGAGAUUUCAUUUGAAGGCAAGGCUCUGGUCACCGGGGCAGGAAAAGGUAAACACAAUAGCAAAAAGACCAUUAUUAUUAUUAUUAUUAUUAUUUUAUUUUGUGCUAUAUACUGACUGUCCGCUGUAUGCACAAUUGCUCCAUUUCGACCAUGUUGUGUUUGUUUGUUUGUUUAUUUAUUUAUUUAUUAAUUUAUUCAUUCAUAAUUGCAAUAUAGUAAUAUUUAAUGAGAAUAAUAAUGAGAUGGCAGUGCCCCCAUUCACUUGUAUGUAACCCAGCCUAAAAUGAACAUGUCCAUUUCCAUUUCAUCAUUGCUCUCUCUUUAAUGACAAUAUCAUUUUAGUUCAGUUACAAUAUGGUUAUUAGAACUUAAACAUAUGAGUAUUUAAUUGUACAUUUAAAAUAUCAUCACAUAAGCAGAAUUAAAUGAAUACGUACGUCGUACAAUAUUAAACACAGGCUUUUGACUCUAGUUUCUGAAGCGGUUUAUGUAAUGACGCCAAGCUACCGCAAGAUGGCAGUGCCUCCAUUCACUUGUAUGUAACCCAGCGUAAAAUGAACAUGUCAAUUUUUCCGUGACAACGUCCUCUAUGUACAAUACACUACGAAAGAAAAACCAGCGGGAUUUCCCCGCCAAAGUGGCAGAAUGGUUUAUAACUUUACCCGGUGUUCGGGAGACUAUGGUUCGAGCCCCACACGAACCAGUCUUUGACUACAGUUGAAUCUGUGUAAGAUUCGAAUCAUGUUCUCCCGCACACAAGGCAAAGGCUUUUCCUACUACACCAUUGAGUAUUACAGCAAUGGUAAUUUAGGUUUGAAUAAGUUGCAAUUCUUCAGUA